CCUACGGGAGGCAGCAGUGGGGAAUAUUGCACAAUGGGCGAAAGCCUGAUGCAGCAACGCCGCGUGAGCGAUGAAGGCCUUCGGGUCGUAAAGCUCUGUCCUCAAGGAAGAUAAUGACGGUACUUGAGGAGGAAGCACCGGCUAACUACGUGCCAGCAGCCGCGGUAAUACGUAGGGGGCUAGCGUUAUCCGGAAUUACUGGGCGUAAGGGGUGCGUAGGUGGUUUCUUAAGUCAGAGGUGAAAGGCUACGGCUCAACCGUAGUAAGCCUUUGAAACUGGGGAACUUGAGUGCAGGAGAGGAGAGUGGAAUUCCUAGUGUAGCGGUGAAAUGCGUAGAUAUUAGGAGGAACACCAGUUGCGAAGGCGGCUCUCUGGACUGUAACUGACACUGAGGCACGAAAGCGUGGGGAGCAAACAGGAUUAGAUACCCGGGUAGUC
rnacentral:rRNA from 1 species